UGCCUGUGGAAUAAAGAAAAAAGAACAUAAAAUUUUUGCUCUCAGAAAUCGACAAACGCCGGUGACGGUGUGACGGUGGUGAGAUUCCGGUAAACAGCCUGGGUCUUUUCUUCCUCUUUCUAAAUCUUCAAGUAUUUUCAUUUUAAUUUGUUUUCUUAUUGAUGCAUCUUAGUUUAGUUUGUUAUUCGCUCUCAGAAAUCGACAAACGCCGGUGACGGUGGUGAGAUUCCGGUAAACAGCCUGGGUCUUUUCUUCCUCUUUCUAAAUCUUCAAGUAUUUUCAUUUUAAUUUGUUUUCUUAUUGAUGCAUCUUAGUUUAGUUUGUUAUUCGCUCUCAGAAAUCGACAAACGCCGGUGACGGUGGUGAGAUUCCGGUAAACAGCCUGGGUCUUUUCUUCCUCUUUCUAAAUCUUCAAGUAUUUUCAUUUUAAUUUGUUUUCUUAUUGAUGCAUCUUAGUUUAGUUUGUUAUUCGCUCUCAGAAAUCGACAAACGCCGGUGACGGUGGUGAGAUUCCGGUAAACAGCCUGGGUCUUUUCUUCCUCUUUCUAAAUCUUCAAGUAUUUUCAUUUUAAUUUGUUUUCUUAUUGAUGCAUCUUAGUUUAGUUUGUUAUUCGCUCUCAGAAAUCGACAAACGCCGGUGACGGUGGUGAGAUUCCGGUAAACAGCCUGGGUCUUUUCUUCCUCUUUCUAAAUCUUCAAGUAUUUUCAUUUUAAUUUGUUUUCUUAUUGAUGCAUCUUAGUGGUUAUUCAAAUUUACAAAACACAUAGUUAGUUCAAAUUUUCUUGAUUUGACUCCUCUCCUUUUGUUUAGUUUUUAUGCAUUAUGCAAUCAAUAUUAUAAGUGAGCUCAUUGAAUUUACAUUGUUGGCAUAGAUGAUGCAUAAUCAAGGAUAGGGAAUUAAAUAUUUUAUUUUUUCCUAAUUCAAAAGAUUUUUCUCACACGUUCCAAAUUGAACUUUCUUCCCCCAUUCACUUCUCUUAUUUGUAUCAACAUUCAAACCACAAAUUUCUUAGAUGUUGCGAUGUUAUCUAAGUCAGGUAUGUGUUAUCAUUUGUCAUUUUUUUUGUUGAUUUUAUGGAUUAAGCUGUAGAAAUGAGUUGAUUUUUGCUGUAUUAUGGUUAAUUAUUGAUUAAUUAUUUGAAUGUGUGGAUUUGUUUGGAUGGUUGUUGAUUUUUAUGUGAAUUUCAUAUCUGAAACAUGGUGUUGCAUGUGUGAUGGUAUGUGAAAAUUGGGGGUUUUGGUGGAGAGUGUUUGAAUUAAGGAAUUCUAAUGGAAAUUAGUGUAGAAAAGGGAAUAAUCACCUUAGAUGAAGAGAGUGGUAAGAGGAGUAAUCACCUUAGAUGGAAAAAAGUGUUGGUUUAAGGUAGUCCACAUUGAAGAUGAACCAAUUGUUCAGUAUGAAUAGAUUUAGUUUAGUUCUAACUUCACUACAAUCACUAUCUUACCAUCAGAUCGCUAAUCGCUGAACGAAAGGGCAUCUUCUUCAUUCUACAUUCUAAAUUCAUUCAAUUCGUAAUUUAUUUCCACUAAUUAUAUCUCCACAUUUUCAAUUUUCUUUUGAAUGUUUUUUUUUAAGAUUAGGGCUUUUGUUCGAGAGAUCAAAUUGGCGUAUAGUCCAAAAUUCUUAUUUAAUGGAGGUCGCAGCCAGCGUCGCGUCCUCACGUUGCGUUUCUCUUCUGAUGCCUUCUUUACAGUUUUCCCGGAAAGAGUGGUGCGCUGUUUCUGAACAUCCUGUUCGAAACUCUGGCGACGAGGUAAUCCUUCACUCAACUUGCUUGCAUUGUUUCUUUUUUUCUCUUUAGUCUUAGAUGUUAGGUUGUUAUCUGUUUAUCUAUAUAUCUUGAGGUUUAAAUAAAAAGUUUGUGUUAUAUAGGAUUUGGAGCGAUUUAAGUUAGGGCGAUUGGAUGAGAGAUUGACAUAUGAGGUAAUGCAUGUUCCUUGAGGUCUUUGGUCCAUCUCUCCAUCGAUCCACUCUCUGCACGUUUCUGUAAAUACCCAUCAUCGCCGAAAUUUCCAUUGCCACUGAAAUUACCCUAUGGCUACUGCAACUGAUAGUCGCUACUUUGAAUAACUUCCUUAAUUUCUCAAAUUUGGGAACCGCU
rnacentral:lncRNA from 1 species